UUGGCCUCCCAAGGCUCUGGGAUUUCAGACGUGAGCCACCGCACCCAGCCUAAGAUCUCUAUUUCUUUUUGUUUGUUUUUUGUGUCUAGAUCUAUAUUUCUUAUUCUUCCUCCACUUGCUUUUGGCCUAUGGCUGAGAUUGUAAACACGGAGCUUCGUGUCUUCGUGUGAAGGUGGUGUUCUUCCGGAAACGCCUGUGUCCCGGGGUGGGUCUCGUGAAGCAAGCGCUUUACCAAGACGAGAGAUACAAGCUUCCUAACUGGGAGAUUGUGAAAGGGGAGGGAAUGUGGGCAGAAUCCUGAGCACAAGUGGUUAGACUUCAUUGACAAACCGGGGGCGGCAGUACGGAGGUUCUGAGCAUGCAUUUGAAGCGAGACCCACUCCUCUUAACGGAGGAUUUAUCAGGAGGGAUAAGGAGAGCUGCAGCACAUCAGUGUUGGACCCACUGCAUCGCCUGUGGUGCAUUGGUUGACUGUAGGAGCUUCAGAGCAUUCCAGGAGGUCUGGUUCUUUGAUGACUCAUCAAGAUUUGGAGCACAGAUACCCAUGCACUGCAAUAGUGACACUUUCGUCACCUGGGGUUUUGUUUUCAUUUCACUUUAAGAAUGUGCCAUGUGAUCGUGUUUCUAAUCCUUUUCACUCUGGAAUCCUGUCCUCACCAUAUUAAUGUUGAAUAGCAUCUCAGGUUUCAUUUCACAAUGCGCACCUGGAGUUGGAAGGAGUUCAACAGACGGACAGUUUUUGUUUAUCAGCCAGCGGCCUUGUGACCCAGCAAAGGUCUCCAGACUUGUGAACGAGGUCUACCACAUGUAUAAUCGACAUCAGUAUCCAUUUGUUGUUCUUAACAUUUCUGUUGAUUCAGGUAACUUAGUAAAAAUGCAUGCAGCGGAUUUGGAGAAGCCCCUGGUAGAAAAGCAGGAUCAUUCCCCUUCAUUAAGGACUCGAGAAGAAAAAAGGGAUGUGUCCAUUUCCAGACUGCGAGAGGCCUUUUCUCUUCGUCACACAACAGAGAACAAGCCUCACAGCCCGAAGACUCCAGAAGCAAGAAGGAGCCCUCUCGGACAGAAAAGGGGUGUGCCAUCUUCUAGCACUUCAGAUGCGGUCUCGGACAGAGGCUUCCUGAGACCUCAGAAAGAGGCAGCGAGUUCCAGUCAGGGACCCAGGGACCCUACGGACGGAGCGGAGGUGAAGGAUUUGGGGCACGGCAGCACUUCCGUGGAUUCUGAGGGGUUCAGCAUCCCAGACACGGGCGGUCACUGCAGCAGCGAGUGUGCGGCCAGCUCCCCAGAGGACAGGGGCUCGCAGGAACAUGCGGACUCACAUGAGAAAGCGCCUGAAACGGAUGACUCUUUUUCAGAUGUGGACUGCCAUCCAAACCAGGUGAUGAUUGGAACUGCUCUUAAUACAAGCGAGAUGAAGAAACUGAUCACCCACAUGGGUGAGAUGGACCACCCCUGGAACUGUCCCCAUGGAAGGCCAACCAUGAGACACAUUGCCAACCUGGGUGUCAUUUCGCAGAACUGACAGUAGUCGCUGUAUGGAAUCAUCGGUUUUAUUGCAGAUUUUUAUGUUUUGAAAGACAGGGUCUUCACUCACCUUUUUUGUUUUCAAAUGAACCUGCUACUUAAAAAAAAAUACACAUCAGACCCAUUUAAAAGUGAUCUUGAGAACCUUUUCAAACCAGAUGGAGCGCUACUUGCAAAAUUGUUUUUUUCUCUGUUUGCAUGCACUCGUGUGUGUGUGUGUGUGUGUGUGUCCAGUCAGGAACAUAUUUUAUAAAAAUAAGAACACUUGGGCCGGGCGUGGUGGCUCAUGCCUGUGAUCCACCUGCCCCGGCCUCCCAACGUGCUGAGAUUACAGGUAUGAGCCAUAUUUCCUGGCCGAGUUAAGGAUCUUGCAGUAGAGAGAUUAUCCUGGAUUGUCUGGUUGGGCCCAGUCCAUUGGGUGAGUCCUUUGAAGGUGGAGACCUUUCCCUGCUGGCCAGAGAGAGGUGGCCUUGCUGGUAUUGGAGAUGGAAGGAGGUACCACUCGUCAAGGAUUGCAAGCAGCCUCUAGAACAGGGAUUCCAGCACUCCGGCCACAGACCAGUAGUGGUCCAUGGCCCGUUAGGAACCAGGGUGCACAGCAGGUUAGGGGCGGGGAAGCCAGCGAAACUUCAUCUGUAGUUAGAUCCCCUCCCCAUGGCUGGUAUUACCACCUGAGCGCCACCUCCUGUCAUAUCAGCGGUGGGCAUUAGAUUCUCAUAGGAGCACAAACCCUGUUGUGAACUGCACACGCGAGGGAUGUAGGUCGCACACUCCUUAAGAGAAUCUGGUGCCUGAUGAUCUGUCACUGUCUCCUGUCACCCCCAGAUGGGACCGUCUAGUUGUAGGAAAACAAACUCAGGCUUCCACUGAGUGUAUGAUGGUGAGUUGUAGAAUUAUUUAAUUAUAUGUUACAAUGUAAAAAUAAUAGAAAUAAAGUGCACAGUAAAUGCAACACGCUUGAAUCAUCCUGAAACCAUCCCCUACCCCCAUCCGUGGAAAAAUUGUCUUCUGCGAAACCGGUCUCUGGUGCCAAAAGGUUGGGGACCGCUUCUGGAAAAGCUGGAAAAGGCAAGGAAACGGACGCUUCCCCGGAGCCUCUGGAAGGAACCAGCACUGUGGGCCUGCUUUACAGACUGUUGGAUAAUAAAUUUGUGUUGCUUCA